GACGAACGCUGGCGGCGUGCCUAAUACAUGCAAGUCGAACGCAGUGGGGACGGGUGAGUAACACGUGGGUAACCUCCCAUCAGAGGGGAUAACACUUGGAAACAGGUGCUAAACCGAUACUGAUGGAUGGACCCGCGGUGCAUUAGCUCGUUGGUGAGGUAACGGCUCACCAAGGCCACGAUGCAUAGCCUACAUGCAAGGGUGGUCGGCCAAACUGGGACUGGUACAAGGCCCAGACUCCUACGGGAGGCAGCAGUAGGGAAUCUUCGGCAAUUGACGAAAGGCUGACCGGGGCACUGCGCGGGAGGGAAGGAGGUUUUCGGAUCGUAAAACUCUUGUGUUAGGGGAGCUGUAUCUAACCAGAAAGCCCCCGCUAACUACGUGGCAGGAGCCGCGGUAAUAC
rnacentral:rRNA from 1 species